CCUAGGAGAGGGCAUGGAUAGAAAAAGCUGUCAGUGCUGGAUGAGGUGGGGUCAGCAAGCACACCACAGAGCCCCAGCCAAAUUCACAGCAGGACAAACACAAGCGUCUGUGCUCAGCAGUCUCUCAGGGCUUCCAGCCUGAAGUUGACACCAUUUUCCUCCACGGCCCUUUUUGGGCUGACGAGGCAGGCUAGAGGCUCAAAGCCCACUUCAGCUCGUGCAUGGAAACCCCUGUGCUCAGCAGCGAGACUCACCCCAUGUGAUGACAGCUCUCCAGCACCCCUCCAGAUGUUCCUCAAGGAGGCAGCAGACUGGGAAAGAAGCUCUAAAACAUCUCAGUUUUCUAAUGUCAAGCUGGAAGACAACCCAGCAAUACCCAAACCCAACCCUGGGCUGAGUUGCUAUGAGCAAAGACAGAAGUGAACACUCAGUAGCAGAAAGUUCAAGGAAAAUAUUUUUAUCAUCUUUAGUUCUUAUUUACAGACCUCACCAAACAAACAACGCUUUUCUCCACCCAGGCUGCCAGAUGACGACUUUGAUGCAGGGAAGAACACCCCCUCAGGCAGUCUUUUAUUUCCAUUUUCUUAAAGCAGAUUUGCAAGAAGCAACAUGUUAAAAAAAAAAAAAAAAAAUCAGUUCUCUCUUGCUUCUGUACUGUAGAUAACCAAAUUUUUGACCCAAGAGGAAUUGGUCUUCGGGGUACAAAAAGAUAAGAAAGACCAAGGUGCUGUUUGCAGUACACAGCAGGGGGCUGAGGGCAUGGCUUGUCCUGCUGUUUGCCUGCCUCUCUGCUCAGCAGCCCCGAGCACAUUUCCACAAACAUUAUCAAAACAUCCUCGUGAUCAUAACAGAUGAAAUACCAGAGAUCUCGACAACCCUCAGCGUCUGAGCAAACACAGAAAUUACCUUUUCAAAGCUAAGCAAAAGAUACCAUCUGUGCUUUGCAUGUACUGUUCAAGAUUUUAAGCCAUUGCAGCAAACUUGCAAGCCUUCACACGAAGACCCAGUCUCUGUUCAGCAUCUCCUGACUCACCAGGACUCUUCCAAAGGUUCAUCCACCAGCUAAUGUGCUGGCUACUGCUGCAGAGUGACCUUCUGCAACGACAAUGCCAUACAGCUUCCACUCAAUGCAACUACCGCCUAGCUACCUCAAUGCACCAGCAACUACAGUACUGCCCUGAGCUUCCCCUCUCCCCUGAGGGGACUGCUUAUCACAGGCACCUACAGCAGCAAAGGAAUGCUCCUCAGCUGCUUCUGCUUCUCAACUGGAAGCCCUUCUUGAACAGUUUUCUCUUGCAAUAAACAGCUUUGUUUUGUUUGAUACUACCAACACACAAAAUGAACAAAAAUUAAAGAAGCACAAAACAGAAAUUAAACAAAGCAUUCACCUGUCAAGUACUACCAAAUUCUCAACUAUCCAUAAUUUCAGCCAAUAUGUAAUAUUGCUGAAAACUUUUGAAUUGCCAUAAUCAGCCAUGUGAACAGUUCUGCCCCAGGAAGAUUUUCUCCCUCGCUGCUGGAAGGAAGGGGGCCUGCUCUUGUGACACCUGUAGACAGAAGCUGUGCACCUAUGCACCUGGCAGAACCUUUUUUAAAGCAGACCCGGCAUCAUUCUGCAGGUCUCCCUCUGCAGACCUGCAUAUUUCUACUCUGCACAUACAGAAGUACAAAAAAGUUCAAACAUAUCAUUGCCUAAAUAGCCUAUAAUACCGUUUGUAACUUAAAUAAAGUCUCUAAAUUGAUACAAA